AAUACGUAAGACAUGGCUGUAUGGGCAUAGUUCCCUUUGCCUUACCCUUUGGGGAAAACCAAAACAAAUAACAAUAACUUCAACCCAAAUUCUGUCGCAUCUAUAAUAAAAUACAAUAAUUAACUUAAUUUUAUUGAAUAAAAAGCCCAAAACUGAUAAAUUCCUCACAAAGUAAACGGUCAAGAGAUGUUGAGACAAUCUAAACUUGUAACAUAAAGAGGAAUUUAUUUAUAUAUCCACUACUAUUACUUUGAGAUUAUUUUGUUGAAUACGAAAUGAGUUGAGAGCAUUUAGUUCUGACGAUCAAGAAGGAAUAUCACACAGGAUUCAUCAUCGUGCAAAUGUUGAGGUUAUGCUGCUCUACAUCAUACGUACUAAAGAAAUAAAUAAAAAGAAUUAACGAAAAUAACAUAAGUGUGAGAGUAGAAUCUGUGACGCCAACUAAAGUAAUACAUGAACAGUGUCUUCAGCUAUAAUUAAUAAAUAAUGUACUAGUGGAAA